rnacentral:rRNA from 1 species
UACGUAGGGGGCAAGCGUUGUCCGGAAUUAUUGGGCGUAAAGAGCGUGUAGGCGGUCCGGUAAGUCCGCUGUGAAAGCCCAGGGCUCAACCCUGGAAUGCCGGUGGAUACUGCCGGGCUAGAGUCCGGAAGAGGCGAGUGGAAUUCCCGGUGUAGCGGUGAAAUGCGCAGAUAUCGGGAGGAACACCAAUGGCGAAGGCAGCGCGCUGGGACGGUACUGACGCUGAGACGCGAAAGCGUGGGGAGCAAACAGG